UGAUUACACAUAACUUGCAGGGAGAGAAAGGAAAUAAUAAAGGAUCAUUUUUACCAUUCCUUCUGUUAAGUGACUCUAUAAUCAGAUAUAAAAAAAAGAAUGGUUGGAUUCCCAUUCAUCAAAUCUGUGUUCCUGAUCCUACCGCUGUUGUGUUUGGUUUGCAAUGCAGAUAUACCGUUAUUAAAAAGAGGUCUGGUCAAAACAAUGGACAACCUUCAAAUAAUGUUAGAGUCAGCUGUUCAAG